rnacentral:rRNA from 1 species
UACAGGGGGGGCAAGCGUUGUUCGGAAUUACUGGGCGUAAAGGGUUCGUAGGUGGCCACUUAAGUCAGACGUGAAAUCCCUCAGCUUAACUGGGGAACUGCGUCUGAUACUGAGUGGCUUGAGUGCAGGAGAGGAAUGCGGAAUUCCAGGUGUAGCGGUGAAAUGCGUAGAUAUUGGGAGGAACACCAGUGGCGAAGGCGGCUCACUGGACCGGUUCUGACGCUGAGGCGCGAAAGCGUGGGGAGCAAACGGG